CUCAGACACAGAUCGGCUGCCCUGGGGCUCACUGCAUCUGUGCCCACCACUCACCCAAGGGCAGUGCCCUCAUCCUCCAUGGGCUCUUUUUCCUCCUGGACCUGCAUGGAGACAGUCAUCAGGGAGUGUUUCUGGCGAAUUCUGCCUUCAACCUUCACUCUCUUAGACCAUAAAUCACCUUUUAACAGUGUUCCAGGUUCUACUGUCAACCCAGGCUCAGGCUGUCCCACAUCCUCCCACAGAGGUCUUGCUUUGUUUUGAGAAAUGCUCAACAGAAGGAGGAAGUCCAGCAUAUCCACGGUGCAACUGAAAUGCCACCCUAGGAAGACUAAGGCCUCAUGGUGGGUGACAGCUGAGGUGACAGCUGAAGAUGAGGCUGGCUGAGGGAGGACAAUCCCACCAAAGUAUAGCGGACACCAGCAGUCUCUCUAGGCUCCCAACAGUCCUAAGGCUGAAGAGACUGUGAACAGGUCUGCACAAAGCCUACAAGCAAAGAAAGUCAUAAGCCUUAGGUUUCCCUGCAAUGACUUUCUGCAGUAGGUGGAGGAAGGGAAGAAAAAACCUAUCUCCAUGGAAAAACCACCUUAUAAGUCUUUCUAUAAAUUGCAGUAGAACAAAG
rnacentral:lncRNA from 1 species